rnacentral:rRNA from 1 species
CAAUACAAAGCUGUGUGCUUGGAGAUAGGCAUUUCAGUAAGGCUUUGAGCAGAGGAUUAUUGCGAUAGGGUGUUUCUAUGAACAACUGAGUGCAUUCUUCUUUGCGAGACUGCUGUUCAAGAUCCUGAAUGGUUUUCUCGCGCUGUUUAUCUUCUAUGGGUAAAUAGCCAUUGAAUUUAAAUUGCUGACCAUUGAGUCCACUGGCCAUUAAGGCUAAUAGAAUGGAAUUGGGUCCCACCAGAGGGCGAACAGGAUAGCCCGCUUCAUGUGCAAGUGCUACUAUGGUUUGUCCGGGAUCUGCAACGCCGGGGCAGCCUGCUUCACUUACUAAACCAAUUUUUUUCCCCUCCUUGAAUAGUUGUUUACAGCGUGUUUUUGUAUCGGGGUCCUCGACAUUGAUCCAUUCGUAAUUAUCAAUGACAAUGUCUUUGGAGAGCGAUUUGAAAUAUCGACGUGUAGUACGUUGGUUCUCUACCACAAAAACCUGGCAGGAUAGGAUAGCCUCCCACACAUAAGCAGGUAAGGCUUGUAGUCCUUCCUCAUGCAAGGGUGCGGGUAUAAGUAUUAACUGACUCAUACCUUUUUUACUUGUCUGACACUGAAUGUAGCGGCAAUGAUUGCAUACGCAGGGGCUAACAAAACAAACAAGUGCAUAGCAAAAAAUAAUAACCCAUUCCCGAUGGCCAACCCUUUAUGAUGGCUACAAAAAACAGCACUUUGCGCGGGCGUCAGUUGGUUGCGUGCAAAGGAGUAAUCCAGCAUAGAGAAGCCAAAGUAGUAACCUUGCAUAAAUAAUCCAAUCAAGGGAGUGAUCCAACCCACCACAGGUAUCAACGCAAGUAAUAUUAACCCACUAAAAUAAAAGGCUUCCAAUCCAAUAUUUCGAAGGGCUAAGCGAAUACCUCGUUGUGCAUCUUUCCAUACUUCAUCCCAUUGAAAGCUAUGCUCUUUGUUUUCCAAUAAUGCCUCGGUUUUAUCGUGACUGGGAAACAUGGGACUAAGUGCAAUGCCGAAGACACGGACUUGUAGCAAUACAAGUGGUAGGGGAGCGUUCUUUAUUGCGACGAAGGUGGACCGUAAGGACUACUGGAGUGUUAAGAAGUGAAGAUGCCGGCAUGAGUAGCGAUAAUGGGGGUGAGAUUCCCCCACACCGAUAGCCUAAGGUUUCCCCGGGAAGGUCAAUCCGCCGGGGGUUAGUCGGUCCCUAAGACGAGGCUGAGAGGCGUAGUCGAUGGGAAGCAGGUUUAUAUUCCUGCACCAUAUGCAUUGUGCGAUGGAGUGACGGAGAAGGAUAGUUGAAGCGGGGUGUUGGUAGUCCCCGUUCCGGAUGGUAGGCGUUGAGAGAUACAGGAAAAUCCGUAUUUUGAGCUGAGAGUCUGGGGGAUAUCAAUUUAGGUUGAUAGUAGGAGAUGAAUCCAGGCUUCCAAGAAAUAACUUCUAAGUUUAGAUGUGUAUGACCGUACCGCAAACCGACACAGGUAGGCUGGUAGAGAAUACUGAGGUGCUCGAGAUAACUCUCGUUAAGGAACUCGGCAAUAUACUCCUGUAACUUCGGGAGAAAGGAGCCCCAUCUGAUUUGAGUGUACAACAGAGGGUUGGAUGGGGGGCACAUAAAUGGGGGUAGCGACUGUUUACCAAAAACACAGGACUCUGCAAACUCGGAAGAGGAUGUAUAGGGUCUGACACCUGCCCGGUGCCGGAAGGUUAAGAGGACUUGUUAGCGCAAGCGAAGCUCGGAAUCGAAGCCCCGGUAAACGGCGGCCGUAACUAUGACGGUCCUAAGGUAGCGAAAUUCCUUGUCGGGUAAGUUCCGACCUGCACGAAUGGUGUAACGACUUCCCUACUGUCUCAACGAGAGUCUCGGCGAAAUUGUAGUGCCCGUGAAGAUGCGGGCUACCUGCGAAAGGACGGAAAGACCCCGUGAACCUUUACUGUAACCUGGCAUUGAACUUUGGUUCAAUAUGUGUAGGAUAGGUGGGAGACUGUGAGAUAUGGUCGCUAGACUGUAUGGAGUCGUCGUUGAAAUACCACCCUUGUUGAACUCGAGUUCUAACCGAGUGAGACAACACUUGAGACAUUGUCAGGCGGGCGGCUAUCGUGACUGGGAAAC